rnacentral:misc_RNA from 1 species
AACUCGUAUGUUUGUUCCUCCAACCUGAUGCAUUGAAUAAACUGUAAAAGGACCUAUCGUUUGCAGUGAAUUUCAAAUAAAAGCUCCAAAUGUGAGGAUAUAUAACUCUUGAGAUAGAAGUUCUUGAGACUGACAUAACACAACACUGUCAUCCUAGCACAACAAUAAAUUUAGCGGAAAAGAUUCUACCUUGAGCACCAAGGAACACUUUGUAGCAAUAAAAAGCAAUUGACAUAAUUAAUGAACUACAAUAAACAUCAUCAAAAUUGACACUCCUAAGUACUAACUACUAUGUCCUGUUGAAAGACUUCUCCACUCUUUUGAGCUGGCACAAGGUGCAUAUUGAUAUUCAAGAAUCUUCGUGGAUGAUUCAUUGUACAUGUAAAGCCCCAUUUUUAACUAGGAAACAGAAUGAGAAAGCCGCUAGCAUAUCAUGCACAUCAAAUUCAAGCUACUAGUGAUGUAGAACAAAAUAAAAAAUCAAAGCAAAGAAAAAUAAAGAACUAGGAGAAAUCAAUGGCCAAUCCUUGGAAAAAGAGAACCAAUUCUCAAUAAUUUUAUUUAAUCUCAAUAAUAAUCCAAAUCCAAAGCUAUUGAAUAAUAACAAUUAGCUCUAUUUAUAGAGCUU